rnacentral:lncRNA from 1 species
UAGGAUCCCCAGGUGUUCUAUAGGUGUUCUAUAGGAUCCCCAGGUGUUCUAUAGGAUCCCCAGGUGCUCUAUAGGUGCUCUAUAGGAUCCCCAGGUGCUCUAUAGGGUCCCCCAGGUGUCCCCCAGGUGCUCUAUAGGAUCCCCAGGUGUUCUAUAGGGUCCCCCAGGUGCUCUAUAGGAUCCCCCAGGUGUCCCCCAGGUGUUCCAUAGGAUCCCCAGGUGUCCCCAGGUGCUCUAUAGAUGUUCUAUAGGAUCCCCAGGUGCUCUAUAGGAUCCCCAGGUGUUCUGCAGGUGUUCUAUAGGGUCCCCCAGGUGUUCUGUAGGUGUUCUAUAGGAUCCCCAGGUGCUCUAUAGGUGUUCUAUAGGGUCCCCCAGGUGCUCUAUAGGAUCCCCAGGUGCUCUAUAGGGUCCCCCAGGUGUUCUAUAGGUGUUCUAUAGGGUCCCCCGGGUGCUCUAUAGGUGCUCUAUAGGAUCCCCAGGUGUUCUAUAGGGUCCCCCAGGUGCUCUAUAGGGUCCCCCAGGUGUUCUAUAGGGUCCCCCAGGUGUUCUAUAGGAUCCCCAGGUGCUCUAUAGGUGUUCUAUAGGAUCCCCAGGUGCUCUAUAGGGUCCCCCGGGUGUUCCAUAGGUGUUCUAUAGGUGCUCUAUAGAUGUUCUAUAGGGUCCCCCAGGUGUUCUAUAGGGUCCCCCAGGUGUCCCCAGGUGUCCCCAGGUGUUCUAUAGGGUCCCCAGGUGUCCCCAGGUGUGUCCAGGUGUCCCCAGGUGUGUCCCCAGGUGUGUCUCAGGUGUCCCCAGGUGUCCCCAGGUGUGUUUUGGGUGUCCCCAGGUGUCCCCAGGUGUGUUUUGGGUGUCCCCAGGUGUGUCCCAGGUGUGUUUUUGAUGUCCCCAGGUGUCCCCAGGUGUCCCCAGGUGUCCCCAGGUGUCCCCAGGUGUGUCCAGGUGUCCCCAGGUGUGUUUUUGAUGUCCCCAGGUGUGUCCAGGUGUGGUUUUGGCUCACCUGGCUGGCCUUUGUCCCCACGCUGGCCGCGAUCACCUCGCAGGCGGCCCCAGGUGUGUCUGUGUGUGUCCCCAGGUGUCCCCAGGUGUGUCUGUGUGUAUCUCAGGUGUCCCCAGGUGUCCCCAGGUGUCCCCAGGUGUGUACCAGGUGUGUUUUUGAUGUCCCCAGGUGUGUCCAGGUGUGUUUUUGGCUCACCUGGCUGGCCUUUGUCCCCACGCUGGCCGCGAUCACCUCGCAGGCGGCCCCAGGUGUG